rnacentral:rRNA from 1 species
GACGAACGCUGGCGGCGUGCCUAAUACAUGCAAGUCGAACGCAGUGGGGACGGGUGAGUAACACGUGGGUAACCUCCCAUCAGAGGGGAUAACACUUGGAAACAGGUGCUAAACCGAUACUGAUGGAUGGACCCGCGGUGCAUUAGCUAGUUGGUGGGGUAACGGCUCACCAAGGCCACGAUGCAUAGCCGGCCGGGAAGGUUGUUCGGCCACACUGGGAUUAAGACACGGACCAGAGUCCUACGGGAGGCAGCAGUAGGGAAUGUUCGGAAAGUGACGAAAGUCUGACCGAGAAACGCCGCGUGAGUGAAGAAGGUUUUGGGAUCGUAAAACUCUUUUGUUAGAGAAGCGGUAUCUAACCAGAAAGCCACGGCUAACUACGUGCCAGCAGCCGCGGUAAUAC